rnacentral:rRNA from 1 species
AUUCUGGUUGAUCCCGGCAGAGGUCACUGCUAUUGGGAUUCGACUAAGCCAUGCGAGUCGUGAGGGUUCGGCCCUCGGCAAACGGCUCAGUAACACGUAGAUAAUUUGCCCUUAGGUGGAGGAUACCCUCGGGAAACUGAGAAUAAUACUCCAUAGAUUUAGAAUGCUGGAAUGCUUUUAGAUUGAAAGAUUUAUCGCCUAAGGAUAAGUCUGCGGACUAUCAGGUCGUAGUUAGGGUAAAUACCUGACUAGCCUACGACGGAUACGGGUUGUGAGAGCACUAGCCCGGAGAUGAUAUCUGAGACACGAUAUCAGGCCCUACGGGGCGCAGCAGGCGCGAAAACUUCGCACUGUGCGAAAGCACGACGAGGGAAUCCCAAGUGCUGGCUCGUAAGAGUCAGCUGUUUCUUUGUCUAAAAAACAGAGAGAGUAAGAGCUGGGUAAGACGGGUGCCAGCCGCCGCGGUAAUACCUGCAGCUCAAGUGGUGGCCGCUAUUAUUGGCCUAAAACGUCCGUACCGGUUCUAUAAAUGCCUGGGUAAAUCGUACGGCUUACCCGUACGAAUUCCGGGUAGACUGUUUAACUUGGGACCGGGAGAGGCUA